AUCUAUGGCCAUACCACCCUGGACGCACCUGAUCUUGUCUGAUCUUGGGAGCUAAGCAGGGUCAGGCCCAGUUAAUACUAGGAUGGAGGAAAUAACUUUGCACAACAGUUC
rfam:Nomascus leucogenys chromosome 18, whole genome shotgun sequence.